rnacentral:rRNA from 1 species
GAUUUAGCGGCGGACGGGUGAGUAACGCGUGGGUAACCUGCCUCAUACAGGGGGAUAACAGCCGGAAACGGUUGCUAAAACCGCAUGAUAUGCAAUUGUCGCAUGACACGAAUGCAUCAAAUAUUUAUAGGUAUGAGAUGGGCCCGCGUCUGAUUAGCUAGUUGGUAAGGUAACUGCUCACCAAGGCGACGAUCAGUAGCCGGCUUGAGAGAGUGACCGGCCACAUUGGGACUGAGACACGGCCCAAACUCCUACGGGAGGCAGCAGUGGGGAAUAUUGGACAAUGGGGGAAACCCUGAUCCAGCGACGCCGCGUGAGUGAAGAAGUAUUUCGGUAUGUAAAGCUCUAUC